rnacentral:rRNA from 1 species
GUGUUUGGCACCUCGAUGUCGGCUCAUCACAUCCUGGGGCUGUAGUCGGUCCCAAGGGUAUGGCUGUUCGCCAUUUAAAGUGGUACGCGAGCUGGGUUCAGAACGUCGUGAGACAGUUCGGUCCCUAUCUGCCAUGGGCGUUGGAGAUUUGAGAGGGGCUGCUCCUAGUACGAGAGGACCGGAGUGGACGAACCUCUGGUGUUCCGGUUGUCACGCCAGUGGCAUUGCCGGGUAGCUAUGUUCGGAAGCGAUAACCGCUGAAAGCAUCUAAGCGGGAAGCGCGCCUCAAGAUGAGAUCUCCCGGGGCACAAGCCCCCUGAAGGAACCAUGUAGACUACGUGGUUGAUAGGUCAGGUGUGUAAGUACAGCAAUGUAUUGAGCUAACUGAUACUAAUGAUCCGUGCGGCUUGACCAUAUAACCUCA